CCUCAGGUUCAUAAAGCAAUAAACCAGGUAAAUGCACAAAUAAUUGCUCCAGACACCUCCAAUUUGUAUGAUAAGCAAUAUUUCAAAUUUGAUCAUCAAUUAGAAGCUAUGAAAUCAAAUUAAAUUAAAAUAACCCCCUUUUCAUCUCAGAUAUUAAAAAAAUAAAAAGAUGAAUUGAAAAUCAAACUCAAUCAAACACAGUCAGAGAAACAAAGCCAUGGCCAUUAUUGUGUAUGGGGUCUGAGAAAAAAUGCAGAGGUGACGGCGGCUCCGUGGAGGCGUGGACGCUUGGACGGUGGCUCCGUGGACGGAAGAAGGAGACGGAGCGGGCCUGGAAGAGGAGAACGACAGCUC
rnacentral:lncRNA from 1 species